GACGAACGCUGGCGGCGUGCUUAACACAUGCAAGUCGAGCGGUAAGGCCCUUUCGGGGGUACACGAGCGGCGAACGGGUGAGUAACACGUGGGUGACCUGCCCUCAGCUCUGGGAUAAGCCUGGGAAACUGGGUCUAAUACCGGAUAUGACUCCAUGACGCAUGUUGUGGGGUGGAAAGCCUUGUGCGGCUGAGGAUGGGCCCGCGGCCUAUCAGCUUGUUGGUGGGGUGANGGCCUACCAAGGCGACGACGGGUAGCCGGCCUGAGAGGGCGACCGGCCACACUGGGACUGAGACACGGCCCAGACUCCUACGGGAGGCAGCAGGUGGGGAAUCUUGCGCAAUGGGCGAAAGCCUGACGCAGCGACGCCGCGUGAGGGAUGACGGCCUCGGU
rnacentral:rRNA from 1 species